UACGUAGGGUGCGAGCGUUAAUCGGAAUUACUGGGCGUAAAGCGUGCGUAGGCGGUUCGUUAAGUUCGUUGUGAAAGCCCCGGGCUCAACCCUCGAAUGCCGGUGGAUACUGUCGGGCUAGAGUGCGGAAGAGGCGAGUGGAAUUCCUGGUGUAGCGGUGAAAUGCGCAGAUAUCAGGAGGAACACCGAGUGGAAGGCGGGUCUCUGGGCCGAUACUGACACUGAGAAGCGAAGGCAUGGGGGAGCGAACAGG
rnacentral:rRNA from 1 species